CCAAUAGCGUAUAUUAAAGUUGUUGCAGUUAAAAAGCUCGUAGUUGAAUUUCGGGAUCAAGGAAUCGGUCAUGCCUCGGUAUGUACUGGUUUUAUUGGUUCUCACCUUCUAAAGAACCAUAAUGUCAUUCAUUUGAUGUUAUGGGGAAUUAGGACUGUUACCUUGAAAAAAUUAGAGUGUUUAAAGCAGGCUUACGCUUGCAUACAUUAGCAUGGAAUAAUGAAAUAGGACAUCAGAUUCUAUUUUGUUGGUUUCUAGGAUCGAUGUAAUGAUUAAUAGGGAUAGUUGGGGGCAUUAGUAUUCAAUUGUCAGAGGUGAAAUUCUUGGAUUUAUUGAAGACUAACUACUGCGAAAGCAUUUGCCAAGGAUGUUUUCAUUAAUCAAGAACGAAAGUUAGGGGAUCGAAGACGAUCAGAUACCGUCGUAGUCUUAACCAUAAACUAUGCCGACUAGGGAUCGGAUGAUGUUAAUUUUAUAAUGACUCAUUCGGCACCUUACG
rnacentral:rRNA from 1 species